rnacentral:ncRNA from 1 species
AAAUGAAAAAGGCAAACUUUUUGAAAGAAAAGGACGCAAAGCCACGAGUCUAAGGUCUUAUGACUAUGAUAGUCGGGUUGCCAAA